UGGUUUCAUUCUUGGAUGGAACUUGGUUUCACUUCUUGUGGAGUUUCUAUUUCUGUCCAGAGUUUAUCAGCUAGUUCCCCAAUUGGCUGUAAAACCCCAGCAACAAACAGGGGGCACUUCCAAGGAAGGCAAUAGGAGGCUAAGAACAUUCAAGGUGAAAUGGACUCUGGGGAAACCACCGAUGGAUUCAUCAACAAGCUCAAAACUUCGGGAGGGUUAAAGGAUAGCCAGUCUAACCUUGAAGGACAACAGGCCACAACCUGUGCUUCCUUGCUGCCUCCGAAACCCCUGAAGGCUGCUGCGCAUGUGCCAUGAGGGGUGGGAAGUGUCCUACAUACAGGCAGACUGUCUUCCUGGUGGGCUUGGGUUUGGCCUUCCUCUACAUGACCACUAGCUACACCUCUACCCAAGGUAUCGGAGGCUCCCUGCUUAGCAUCCUCAGGGCCCUAUCAGCUCUCUCUGCCUGAUGGGCACAAUGCUCUUCACCAGGCUCAGGGAACAUUCUGGCUUGGUCGCCACAGGAAUCAUAUCCAGCUGUCUCCGUGUAGGUUGUCUGACGCUCUGUGUGUUUUCUGUCUUUGCUCCUGGAAGUCCAUUUGAUCUGGCUGUUUUCUCCCUUUCAUUAAGCAAAACCUCUUCUUCAAACCAUGAGUUGCUAAAAGAGGACCAGGUCCAUGUUUAUGUCUUUGAAAGAAACGUGAACCAGCCUAUCCUCCCAGAUUGCUUUUCCAUCCACUGGACCAAUAACACAGUUCUGUGUGAAGGCAAGCAGGACCCCAGGCAUCCUGAGUCUUACAUCUUCAUCAUCUUGUUAUUCUCAGGUGUGGUCCUGGCAAGAUAGAACAUGUUACAUGAAAAGAACUGCCCUACACACUGGGGAUACAAGAGUGGUUUAAUCACACACUCUUAGCCCCAUGGAGCAUACAAUUGGGAUGGAAGGUCAUUGAGUGAACAGUCAACAACAGUCAACAAUACAAAGCAAGAGGACCUAUGUUGUGGAGGUAGGGGGAGAAAAUUGAGAAUACAGAGGAGGGACACCAAGCCUGGUCUUGGGAGUUAGAGUUGGUCUUCCUAACUUGAGACUCAAUUAAGAGAUCCCCGAAGAACAAAUUGAGCAGGUGACAUGAAGAAAGAGUGUUCUAGGCUAGACAGUUGUACAAAGGCUAAAAUGUGAAGACAUGGAAAUUUGGAGAAGUGAGAAUAGUUAUUUCCUAGGUAUCAGGCAUGUCAAUGCUAUAGAUGGCAUCUAUGUUAAAGGAGUAGUUUGACCUGGAUUCUUUCUCUGUGGAACUGGGAUGGAAAGACAGGAAAGAGGACAGCUCAGUAGCGCCAAAACCUUCCUUGGAUGCUUAGGGGAGGGGAGGGAAAUCUUUUCUCAGGACAAGGUGCCUAACUUUGAAGGUCUACAAGCUUGUCGGCCCCAAGAACUUGGACUUGGAACUUUGCCACUAACCAUGUGUCAUUCAUAUAUGCCAAUGAGAACUUACUUGAUUUAUUUUUUAAAGAAUUUAUUUAUUUAUUUAACAGAAAGUGACAGAGAGCAAGAGUGGGGAGGACAGGGAGAAGCAGGCUCCCCACUCCCCUCACUGAGCAGGGAGCAUGAGGCAGGGCUCCAUCCCAGGACCCUGGUAUUAUGACCUGAGCUGAAGGCAGAUGCUAACUGACUGAGCCACCCAGGCACCCCAGAACUCACCUGAUUUAGUAAGGGGGUUUUAUUGUUGUUUUUUUCAAGUUUGAUCAGUUGCUUUGUGAAUGCAACAGUGACAUAUUGGGAUCAAUGGUGAUGGCAAUAAAAAUCACUUAACAGCUUAUUGACCCCUGUGAUUAGACCUGCAGAUUCCCAACCUGGGCAGAACCUGGGCCUCACUUAGACAUGGAAUCCCUGAGAUCAAGUUUUCCAGCCAAGCCUUACCCCCUUCCCGAAAUCCAAAGUCACCACCUUCAAAGCCCCUCCCUGAGGUCACAGCUCAUCACCCGUGGAUUCCCCAAGCCAAGGUCAGAAAUGGAGAGGGUGGAAAGUGUGGUAGUGGGUAGUGGAAGGUGUGGCUUAACAACCAAAUCUAUCUUCUUCAUUCAUUCAACAAGUCUUCCUGCAGGCCUCUUCUGUGUACCUCCCCUGCUGCACUAGGUCCUGGGCUUCAGCAAAGUCCCCAAGCUCCAGGAGCUCAGAGCUUUACCUUCUCACCACUAGAGCCACAGUGGGGGGAGAUAACAGGAGUGGAGGGAUGUUUUCCUUAUUUCUGCCAUGAGACCCAGAACGCCUUGGCCCACAAAAGCUUUGGAACAUUGGGAGAGAGGAAAUGAGGAUUCUGUAGAUCAGAUUCAAGAGGUUAUGGAACCAUGGGCUGGCCUGGCAACCUCAUUCCUCUGAUGAAGUGUGUGUGUGUGAGAGAGAAACUGUGUUCCCAAUUCUAAAUGACUGACUUAGAAACCUGUUCUUUCAUCAACUUCUGAAAUAUUUUAAGUGAGGUACCUGAGAGGUAGAUUAUUUUUUAUUAAGGUAUUUGGUGUGUACUUCCGGCCUUUAGUUGCAUGAACAACUGAGAGCAGAUUGACCAUGUAAGAUAUAUGCAGUUCACAUGAUGAUAAUAAACUAUUUAGUUCAAAAGGUGGUGGUGGGGGGUCCCCUUGACUCUUCUUGACACAAAGGAAAUGAUCGCCUUUGGAGAAUGUGGAGUGUCAUCGGCAGUGUCUAUAAUCCAGAGAAGCAUUUAGCAUGACAGGCUUCCAGCUUUUCUCUACUGCAAUAGUUCUUUUUUUUUUUUUUUUAAUUUUUUUUCAAUUUUUAUUUAUUUAUGGUAGUCACAGAGAGAGAGAGGCAGAGACACAG